CCUUGCACUGUCACGGCGACGUCGUCGUUCUCAUGCCGCUACACCUUCUCCUCACAUUGCAGGUUGCUCAUCACUGUGUGAUUUAGGGACGGGUCAAUUUACCUUCAUGAUGCAGCAUCGUCCUCACGUGCUUGGCCCUCCUCUGUCUACCGCCGUACGCUUCAACCUCUGUCAGCAACAAAUGAAGGAACUAGACAACACGUAGUGGUCUUAAAAUAUUGGUUGGCCAACACUGAUGUAUGGAAGAGCUACAGAAGAAGGGGAAUGCAAAGAUAGUAAGGAGUCUCCAAAAACUCAAAUGAAUUUAUUCAG